GACGAACGCUGGCGGCGUGCCUAAUACAUGCAAGUUGAGCGCUGAAGGUUGGUACUUGUACCGACUGGAUGAGCAGCGAACGGGUGAGUAACGCGUGGGGAAUCUGCCUUUGAGCGGGGUACAACAUUUGGAAACGAAUGCUAAUACCGCAUAAAAACUUUAAACACAAGUUUUAAGUUUGAAAGAUGCAAUUGCAUCACUCAAAGAUGAUCCCGCGUUGUAUUAGCUAGUUGGUGAGGUAAAGGCUCACCAAGGCGAUGAUACAUAGCCGACCUGAGAGGGUGAUAGGCCACAUUGGGACUGAGACACGGACCAAACUACUACGGGAGGGAGCAGUAGGGAAUCUGAGGCAAUGGACGAAAGUAUGACCGAGCAACGCGGCGUGAGAGAAGAAGGUUUUCGGAUCGUAAAACUCUGUUGGUAGAGAAGAACGGUGGUGAGAGUGGAAAGCGCAUCAAGUGACGGUAACUACACAGAAAGGGACGGCUAACUACGUG
rnacentral:rRNA from 1 species